rnacentral:rRNA from 1 species
UACGUAGGGUGCAAGCGUUGUCCGGAAUUAUUGGGCGUAAAGAGCGAGCAGGCGGUUUGGAAAGUUGGACGUGAAAUUUUAGGGCUUAACCCUAAAGGGUCGUCCAAAACUCCCAGACUAGAGUGCAGGAGAGGAAAGCGGAAUUCCCGGUGUAGUGGUGAAAUGCGUAGAUAUCGGGAGGAACACCAGAGGCGAAGGCGGCUUUCUGGCCUGUAACUGACGCUGAGGCGCGAAGGCUGGGGUAGCGAACAGG